GGAGCCGUGCCUGAAUGCUAAAGGGCCACUUUGAUAGAGUGAAAAAUGGAGGCUAAAAUCCCCCCGACUCCUUA
rnacentral:tRNA from 2 species